rnacentral:rRNA from 1 species
UAGGGAAUUUUCGUCAAUGGGCGCAAGCCUGAACGAGCGAUGCCGCGUGAGUGAAGAAGGCCUUCGGGUCGUAAAGCUCUGUUGCGGGGGAAAAAGGCAUCUGCAGGAAAUGGUAGAUGACAGAUGGUGCCCCGCCAGAAAGUCACGGCUAACUACGUGCC